rnacentral:tRNA from 2 species
GCGGGUGUAGUUCAGUGGUAGAACGUCAGCUUCCCAAGCUGAAUGUCAUGGGUUCGAGUCCCAUCACCCGCU